CCUACGGGAGGCAGCAGUGAGGAAUAUUGGUCAAUGGCCGGAAGUCUGAACCAGCCAUGCCGCGUGAAGGACGACGGCCCUACGGGUUAUAAACUGCUUUUGUAUGGGGCUAAAAUGGCUUAUGCGUACCGUUUUGUAUGUACGGUACGAAUAAGGAUCGGCUAACUCCGUGCCAGCAGCCGCGGUAAUACGGAGGAUCCGAGCGUUAUCCGGAUUCAUUGGGUUUAAAGGGAGCGUAGGUGGAUUGUUAAGUCAGCGGUGAAAGACCGAGGCUCAACAGCGGAAGUGCCGUUGAUACUGGAAGACUAGAGUGCGGAUGCGGUGGGCGGAAUGUGUGGUGUAGCGGUGAAAUGCAUAGAUAUCACACAGAACACCGAUUGCGAAGGCAGCUCACUAGUCCGCAACUGACACUGAUGCACGAAAGCGUGGGUAUCAAACAGGAUUAGAUACCCGUGUAGUC
rnacentral:rRNA from 1 species